AUACGGAGGAUCCGAGCGUUAUCCGGAUUUAUUGGGUUUCAAGGGAGCGUAGGUGGAUUGUUAAGUCAGUUGUGAAAGUUUGCGGCUCAACCGUAAAAUUGCAGUUGAAACUGGCAGUCUUGAGUACAGUACAGGUGGGCGGAAUUCGUGGGGUAGCGGUGAAAUGCUUAGAUAUCACGAAGAACUCCGAUCGCGAAGGCAGCUCACCGGGCCGGAACUGACACUGAUGCUCGAAAGUGCGGGUAUCAAACAGGAUUAGAUACCCUGGUAGUCCGCACAGUAAACGAUGAAUACUCGCUGUUUGCGAUACACUGUAAGCGGCCAAGCGAAAGCGUUAAGUAUUCCACCUGGGGAGUACGCCGGCAACGGUGAAACUCAAAUGAAUUGACGGGG
rnacentral:rRNA from 1 species